AUAAGAUCACGCAAUUUGAAAACUUGAGACUUUUUCCUUUGAGGUUAUUUCAAAGAAAAGGGGUACAUCGUUAAUUGAACAUUGAACCUCAAUUAUAGCUACAUGGAAAAUUUGGUCCAUUGGAUCGAGGUAUGCCACCGAGGUCGCGGCUAACAUACUUUGAUUCCACACCGAUUUUGUUCCAUACAUACUUGAACCAAAUUGAACUAAUUGUAUCAAAUUCGGUACACUUGUAUCGAAUUUUUCAUCCCUGAUUAGCACUUCUUGAUUCUGGAACUGUCAAGCCUCAAGAACCAUCAACAAUCGAAAACUCUGCAGGAAAGUUAUCAACUGACCAAAACACUAUAUGAAUAAAUAAAGUGUUUUUGAUCAAAAACAUAUUGGCUCCGAGACUCAUUUCAGUCUUUCGAGGAACAUAAGAGGAUCUAAAAGCGUUAAUAGCUGCAGUGGCCCUUAAGCAGAACCUAAAGUGCAGAGGUUUAAGCGAAUGACGAACUGGUUAAACUCAAAACCCCAUUGCUGUAAA